CGGAGAAGUUGAUCGGGGAGCAGCAGCAGUCGAUUCACCACGGUGAAGACACCAAGCACAGAUAGCGGUUGGAAAUAACGAACAGGCAAGUCACUGAAGGAGACGUUUACAGCUACCGACGUUACGCAAGACCCAACUUACGCAAAUUCAACCUUAUGCAAAAAGUUCCAUAAGGCAUAAAUAAAAUGUUUGAGUUGCAGAAAAUAUUGCGUAACGUACAGGAACGCAAAGUCCUGUAGUGCGGUGUGCAGAGGAAUACAGCAGUAGCAUCUCCUACAAGGGAAGGCUUUGCGCUCUCACAGCCUCUCAGUCUCGUGUUAUUUCAGUGAUACUGGAUUUCUGUUAUUUCACCCUGUUAUUUCAUUCAAAUCAUGCCUGGAAAGCAACCAAGUGAUGGCAAGAGUGCAGGACCAGUUCGUAAGAGAAAGAAGAUUGAUUUAGAGCAGAAAAUGAAAAUAGUGAAAAAGUAUGAAGGCGGACAAAGCCUGUCGUCAAUUGCUCGUGAACUCGAUUUGGCUACCUCAACAGUGAAAAGUAUUUUGAAUGAUAGUGCACGCAUAAAAGAGCACGUGAAAGGCUCUGCUCCUUUAAAAUCAACAGUCAUAACGAAGCAGCGUUCUGGCGCUAUCUAUGAAAUGGAAAAGUUAUUAACAAUAUGGAUGGAUGAUCAGAUUCAAAAAUGUGUGCCGCUUAGCCUAAUGAUUAUUCAAGCGAAGGCUAAAAGUAUUUUCGAAGACGUAAAGGGAAAAUACAGUGACCCUAACGCAAAGUUUGUGGCUAGUCACGGGUGGUUUAAUAGAUUUAAACAACGUGCAAAUUUUCACAAUGUAAACGUGAGUGGUGAGGCUGCUAGUGCUGAUACAAAAGCAGCUGAAAAGUAUCCCGACGUGUUACGAAAACUUAUAGAAGAAGGUGGUUAUACAGCACAGCAAAUCUUUAACGUGGACGAAACUGGAUUGUUUUGGAAAAAAAUGCCAGACAGAACAUACAUUUCAAAAGAGGAAAAGACGAUGCCAGGGUUUAAGGCUGCGAAAGAUAGGCUAACGCUUUUGCUUGGGGCUAAUGCAGCUGGAGAUUGCAAAUUGAAACCGUUGCUUGUUUAUCAUUCAGAAAAUCCCCGUGCGUUUAAAGGCAUUAGCAAGGCUACCCUUCCAGUUCAUUUCCGUUCAAAUGGAAAGGCUUGGAUCACAACGGCACUUUUCGAAGACUGGUUUAUAAAUUUGUUUAUCCCCGAAGUGGAAAAAUUCUGCAGAGAAAACGACAUCCCGUUCAAGAUUAUGCUUAUCGUCGAUAAUGCUCCUGGACAUCCCGCACAUUUAGAUGACUUUCACCCUAAUGUAAAAGUCGUGUUUCUGCCUCCUAACAAGACUUCGAUCCUACAGCCCAUGGAUCAGGGGGUCUUUGCUAAUUUUAAAGCCUAUUAUCUACGAAGAACAUUUGCACAGGCAGUAGAAGCGACUGGCAAGACUUUACGUGAUUUUUGGAACUCAUAUAACAUUUACCAAGCCAUCAUAAACAUUGCUAAAGCCUGGGCAGAGGUUACCCAGGUUUGUUUGAAUGCCGUAUGGAAGAAAGCAUGCCCACAGUUUGUACACAGCUUUAAAGGUUUCGAAAAAGACAAAACAUAUGAGGAGGUGGCAGAUGAAAUUGUGAAGCUUGCCGAGCAGCUUGAGCUGGAGGUUGAUGUUGGCGAUGUGGAUGAGUUUAUCGAAUCCCAUGGAGCUGAAUUAUCAAAUGAGGAUCUCAUGGAAUUAGAAGCAGCAAAAGUAAAAGAGCAAACUGAAGCGGAGGAUGAAGUUGAAGAAGUAGAAGAGCCACGACACUUCAACACCAAGGAGAUGGCACUUGCAUUUCGUGAGAUUGACUCUGCAAUGGCAAGGUUUGAGAAGAUGGACCCCAACUCCUCACGAUUCUUGAAAGUGAACAGAGGCAUUGACGAAACGCUGGCCUGUUACAGACAGAUAUAUGAAGAGAAGAAAAAGGCCACUAUCCAGUCAUCUCUCGAUAAGUUUGUAAGGAAGGUUGAAAGGCCUGCAAUGUCCACAUCUCUACCGCCUUCCACCUCCAAAGCCCCCUCUGACGACCCCGAUGAUGUAAUGCCUGUCUCCUCUUCUCCUUCCUCAUCUACAAAUUAAGCCCAUUGUCAUCCGCCACCAAAAUGGAGCCUUCAGCGUGCCAGGAUAAUAAUAGGAUUAAGGUGGCCAUAGGACAGGAAACCAGUCGGAGAACACUUCAACCUCCCUGGUCACUCAAUUACAGACCUCCAAGUCGCAAUACUGCAACAAAAAA